rnacentral:rRNA from 1 species
AGCGAACGCCGGCGGCAGGCUUAAUACAUGCAAGUCGAGGGGCAGCACGGUUAGCAAUAACUGGUGGCGACCGGCGCACGGGUGCGUAACACGUAUACAAUCUACCUUAAACAGGGGGAUAGCCUUUCGAAAGAGAGAUUAAUACCCCGUAAUAAAUUGAACGGCAUCGUUUGAUUUUGAAAGCUCCGGCGGUUUGAGAUGAGUAUGCGUCUGAUUAGCUAGUUGGUGAGGUAACGGCUCACCAAGGCGACGAUCAGUAGGGGAUCUGAGAGGAUAACCCCCCAACUGGUACUGAGACACGGACCAGACUCCUACGGAGCAGCAGUAAGGAAUAUGGUCAAUGGAGGCAACUCUGAACCAGCCAU